rnacentral:rRNA from 1 species
AUAAGCGGAGGAAAAGAAACUAACAAGGAUUCCCCUAGUAGCGGCGAGCGAAGCGGGAAGAGCUCAAAUUUAUAAUCUGGCACUUUCAGUGUCCGAGUUGUAAUCUCUAGAAGUGUUUUCCGCGUUGGACCGCACACAAGUCUGUUGGAAUACAGCGGCACAGUGGUGACACCCCCGUACACGGUGCGGACGCCCAGCGCUUUGUGAUACACUUUCGAAGAGUCGAGUUGUUUGGGAAUGCAGCUCAAAUUGGGUGGUAAAUUCCAUCUAAAGCUAAAUAUUGGCGAGAGACCGAUAGCGAACAAGUACCGUGAGGGAAAGAUGAAAAGCACUUUGGAAAGAGAGUUAACAGUACGUGAAAUUGUUGGAAGGGAAACGCUUGAAGUCAGACUUGCUUGCCGGAGCUUGCUUCGGUUUGCAGGCCAGCAUCAGUUUUCCGGGGUGGAUAAUGGCGGUUAGAAGGUAGCAGCUUCAGCUGUGUUAUAGCUUUCCGCUGGAUACAUCCUGGGGGACUGAGGAACGCAGCGUGCUUUUAGCGGGGGUUUCGACCUCUUCACGCUUAGGAUGCUGGUGUAAUGGCUUUAAACGACCCGUCUUGAAACA